CUCCUCCUCCUCACUCCUCCUUUCUGUAUUUGUGACUGCUGUAAUUUUUAUGUUAAUUUUGAAUUAUUAUUUUUUACUAUAAUUAUUAAAAUGUCAUUUUUGAUGUUAAUCUUCUUUUUUUAGUUAUCUUAUUAUUAGAUUUGGAUAAUUUAGCACUUUAAUGUUUUCUAGAUAGUUAAAUCAAUGUAAUUUUAUAUUUACCGGUGAUGAUUUGAAUAUGAAAUUAGAUGAAACUCAUUUUGUCUAAUUUUUAUUUUAAUGCCUGGAUUUUUUGUUAAUUAUAUUUUUUAUUAUUUUAUAUUGGCUAGUUCUUUGCGGAGCUUGGGCGAGUGCCUUUAACAACACUGUCUUGAACAUUGGCACAGUAGCAUGGAACAAGGAUAUAGCGUGCUUCACAGUUUCUGAAGCUACCAACUGCAAUAGAUAAAUAGUGGAAGGUAGUGUCAGUGCGCAUGUGUCACAUCAAGACAUUAUUUCAGUGGUGGAGAAUUGCUUGGAUUUGAGCAUGAUAACAAGUAAAUGAUCAAAGGUACUGAUAAUCAACACUCAAACACCAUUUAGAGACUUAAAUCUGAGAGAAAUGGUUUAUGGGAACUGAUGGCAGGUGGAUUUAUGUGAAGAAUUUUAUCUGAUACAGAUGAUCAGCUUGAAGUUUUCAACUUCCUUUUGAUUGGAAGCAGAUACAGAAAAUAUAUUUAGUUUGGAUGCGCUUGAUCUGAGGUAGAAGAGGAGUUGGUCUUAGAGAGGGCAGCGAUUAGAUUAGUUUUUUUGUAUUUUUCUGCAAACAGCACACGAUACUGCUUCAAAAGAUGAUGUUUUUGGUGCAAAAAAGGCUCUUUUGCCUUUUCCCACGUAACAAUUCCUCCAUUUAUCUUUCCUCCUAUCAACUUUGCAGCCUGUUUAACUUUUCCACUGCCAAAUGCGAUAGUUCAGAGAACAGUUCCAACUUUAUAGUGGUCAACCCCCUUCAAUCAUGUGAACUUUCCUCGGAAAAGGCUGCAAAAACAGCCAAGUAUCACACCUGUCGUAAAAAUUCUUCGAGUCUUUCCAUUGAGUUCUUUAAGCAGAAGGGUUGGAGCGAUGCACAAGUCAUGAAACUUACCCAGAAGGCACCCAAGGUGCUGCGUGCUAACGUAGAGACUACACUGAAGCCCAGGAUGAGAUCUUUGCAGGACAUGGGAUUUUCUGUUACUGAAAUAGUUCAGUUGGUUUCAAAAUGUCCGGCUAUGCUCUUUCAGAAUAUCCAACCGAAUUUGAACUUCUUGAAGUCACUACUUGGUUCUAAUGAGAGGUUACUGAAAGCCUGCAGUAGGAACCGAUUUCUUCUUACUUCUAGCUUAGCUCGGAAGAUAGAGCCCAAUAUAUCUCUCUUAAGGGAAUGUGGCAUCAGUGAUGAAUGCAUCGCGGGUAUGGUGGUGUCGAAUCCGUGUUUUGUUGUUCGAAAUAACAAAUUUAUUAGGGAAGUUAUCGAUUAUGUUGAGGAGUUGGGUGUGCCACGGGAUUGUGGAAUGUUCCGUCAUGCACUUCAUUAUGUCAUGAACAUGAGCAGAUCUAAGUGUGAUGCUACCUUUGCAACCUUUAAUAGCUUUGGUUGGUCCCAGCCAGACAUCGUUGCCAUACUCAGGAAGAACCCAAGUGUUUGGACACUCUCAAAGAAUAACAUAUCUGACAAGAUGACAUUCCUGAUGAAGGAAGCUGGUUGUGAGCUGCAGUAUAUCAUUCGCCAUUCUGGGAUGCUUUCAUAUAGCUUGGAGAAGAGGUUGAGACCUCGUCAUGAUGUUAUAAAUUUUCUUGAGCAGAAUAAAUUGCUAGAUAAAGGACAAGGCCUUGCAUAUGUCAUGAAACUAACUGAGCAGAAGUUCAUGAACAAAUUUCUUUUCCCGUACAAGGAGAAAUUUACUGCUCUCUAUAAUUCCUAUGUUGCUGCUGUGCAGGGAAAGCACCAUGUUGUCGCUGAAAAUUAGGUUUGCGAGUGCUUCCCCGAGACAAUGUGUAAACCUGUUGCAUCCUGACUGCACUAUUUAAUCAUCUUAAAUUUGUGACAAUUUAUAUUCUUCAGGAGUUUCGUCUGAGUGGAACAUCCCUGUUGAUUUUGAUAUUUUAUUUCUAAUUAUCUUUUGAUACCUUUUAUUUUA